rnacentral:rRNA from 1 species
GCAAGUCGAACGAGAAAGUGGACUUCGGUCCGCGAGUAGAGUGGCGCACGGGUGAGUAACGCGUAAGUAAUCUACCCCUGUAUUUGGGAUAACCCACCGAAAGGUGUGCUAAUACCGGAUACGUCUGAUUUAAUACCUUUUUUUCAGAGAAAGGUGGCCUCUUCAUGAAAGCUACUGUACAGGGAGGAGCUUGCGUACCAUUAGCUAGUUGGUAGGGUAAUGGCCUACCAAGGCAUCGAUGGUUAGCGGGUCUGAGAGGAUGAUC